UACGAAGGGGGCUAGCGUUGCUCGGAAUCACUGGGCGUAAAGGGUGCGUAGGCGGGUCUUUAAGUCAGAGGUGAAAGCCUGGAGCUCAACUCCAGAACUGCCUUUGAUACUGAGGAUCUCGAGUUCGGGAGAGGUGAGUGGAACUGCGAGUGUAGAGGUGAAAUUCGUAGAUAUUCGCAAAGAACACCAGUGGCGAAGGCGGCUCACUGGCCCGAUACUGACGCUGAGGCACGAAAGCGUGGG
rnacentral:rRNA from 1 species